rnacentral:misc_RNA from 1 species
CUAAAAUAUCAGUGAGCAUGAAAUAUAUGUUCAUUGAUUCAACCUUUUAUUCUCUUUCUUCUCCUUUUCUAUUUCUCUCUCUUGAUAUAGAUACCUUUUCCUAUUAAGUGUCGCUUGAAAACCACAUUUUUUGCAGUUGAUUCAACCUUUUGUUUUCUUUCUUCUCCUUUUCAUUCAUUCCCUCUUUUUCUUCAUACUGCUGAACCAAGAUUUUGUUUCAAGGUGCAAAGUUUCUGAUGAUUAGGUGUUAACAAUAUUGUAUGCAGG